AUUAUAAGUAGAAAAUGAAAAAGAAAAAAAGAAAAAAGAAUAAUUACAAGAAAAUGAAAAAGAAAAAAAGAAAAUAGAAUAAUUACAAGAAAAUGAAAAUGAGACCGUAUGUUAUAAAGGAAACCAACUCAAUCAUUUUUCCAGUGUUACAUUAGCACCACCUUUAUUAUUGUGAGAUCCUCAUAAUCCUAACAAACAUCUCAAUCUCAUCAAAACAAUACGAAAAACCCUAUCAUAAUCAUUGGUGAUGCAAGAAUAAAAUUGAAAAUAAGAGGAAACACAGAUGAAUAGAGUGACAAAAUAAACAAGUUAGAGAUGUGUAACCUUCAAAAGAUCAACCUAUAUCAGAAAUCACUUGAUCUGUACAUUUGAUAGAUAAGAAAGAAAAUUACUCAUAAAAGAUAGAAAAAAAAGGAAAAUAUGACAAUUUUUCAGCAGUACGUAUUUUUUUACCCUUUGUAUUUUGUUUAUACAAUCAUAAAGUGAAUAUGAACCAGAGAUUUCUAUUAAAUAAUGUAAGCUAAAUAUUUCUAAUAAGUACAUCCUCAAUUAUAUAAAUCAAUCAAACAUGUAAUGAGUAACAAACCUUGACAUUAAUUAGUUUAGAAAGAUAUGUAUUUAACAUCAAAAUUUAUUAAAUAUAUACUUAUAUCCUUAAGUACAUAAAAUGUCAUCUUCUAUAUUCUAAUAAUUAAUUAAUUAACAUAAGUUCUACAGAUUAAAAAAUAUGAUAAAAUACUAAUUAUAAGUAGAAAAUGAAAAAGAAAAAAAUAAAAUAGAAUAAUUACAACAAAUUUAAAAUGAUACCGUAUGGUAUAAAGGAAACCAACUCAAUACGUUUUCCAGUGUUACACUACACCACGUUUAUUAUUGUGAGAUCCUCAUAAUCCUAACAAAAAUCUCAAUCUCAUCAAAACAAUACGAAAAACCCUAUCAUAAUCAUUGGUGAUGCAAGAAUAAAAUUGAAAAUUAGAGGAAACACAAAUGAAUAGAGUGACAAAAUAAACAAGUUAGAGAUGUAUAACCUUCAAAAGAUUAACCUAUAUCAGAAAUCACUUGAUCCGUACAUUUGGUAGAUAAGAAAGAAAAUUACUCAUAAAAGAUAGAAAAAAAAGGAAAAUAUGACAAUUUUUCAGCAGUCCGUAUUUUUUUACCCUUUGUAUUUUGUUUAUACAAUCAUAAACUGAUUAUGAACCAUAGAUUUCUAUUAAGUAAUGUAAGCUAAAUAUUUAUAUUAAGUACAUCCUCAAUUCUAUAAAUUAAUCAAACAUGUAAUGAGUAACAAACAUUGACAUUAAAUAAAUUAGAAAGAUAUGUAUUGAACAUCAAAAUUAAUUAAAUAUAUACUUAUAUCCUUAAGAACAUAAAAUGUCAUCUUCUAUAUUCUGAUAAUUAAACAAUUAACAUAAGUUAUACAGAUUAAAAAAUAUGCUAAAAUACUAAUUAUAAGUAGAAAAUGAAAAAGAAAAAAAGAAAAAAGAAUAAUUACAAGAAAAUGAAAAAGAAAAAAAGAAAAUAGAAUAAUUACAAGAAAAUGAAAAUGAGACCGUAUGUUAUAAAGGAAACCAACUCAAUCAUUUUUCCAGUGUUACAUUAGCACCACCUUUAUUAUUGUGAGAUCCUCAUAAUCCUAACAAACAUCUCAAUCUCAUCAAAACAAUACGAAAAACCCUAUCAUAAUCAUUGGUGAUGCAAGAAUAAAAUUUAAAAUAAGAGGAAACACAGAUGAAUAGAGUGACAAAAUAAACAAGUUAGAGAUGUGUAACCUUCAAAAGAUUAACCUAUAUCAGAAAUCAAUUGUUCCGUACAUUUGAUAGAUAAGAAAGAAAAUUACUCAUAAAAGAUAGAAAAAAAAGGAAAAUAUGACAAUUUUUCAGCAGUACGUAUUUUUUUACCCUUUUUAUUUUGUUUAUACAAUCAUAAACUGAUUAUGAACCAUAGAUUUCUAUUAAGUAAUGUAAGCUAAAUAUUUAUAUUAAGUACAUCGUCAAUUCUAUAAAUCAAUCAAACAUGUAAUGAGUAACAAACAUUAACAUUUAAUAAAUUAGAAAGAUAUGUAUUGAACAUCAAAAUUAAUUAAAUAUAUACUUAUAUCCUUAAGAACAUAAAAUGUCAUCUUCUAUAUUCUGAUAAUUAAAAAAUUAACAUAAGUUACACAGAUUAAAAAAUAUGCUAAAAUACUAAUUAUAAGUAGAAAAUGAAAAAGAAAAAAGAGAAAAGAAUAAUUACAAGAAAAUGAAAAAGAAAAAAGGAAAAUAGAACAAUUAGAAGAAAAUGAAAAUGAGACUGUAUGUAUUAAAGGAAACCAACUCAAUCAUUUUUCCAGUGUUACAUUAGCACCACCUGUAUUAUUGUGAGAUCCUCAUAAUCCUAACAAACAUCUCAAUCUCAUCAAAACAAUACGAAAAACCCUAUCAUAANUUGUAACCUCAAGAGGUCAACCUAUAUCCAAGACAUCCACCGGAUUAUCUUACCAUUUGGCUGGGUAUAAGAAUUGAAAACUUACCUCAUAAAAUAGGAAAGAAAAGAAAAAUAUGUAAUUUUUCAGUCUUAGUCGAAUUGUUUUUACCCUUUUAUUUGUAUUUUUAUACCCAAUCAUAAAUGAAUACGCUGAACCAAGAGAUUUCUAUUAAAUAAUGUUAUACCCUUAAAAAAUUUCAUUAAGUAACAUCCCCAAUUUAUCCAAAUCAAUAAAAUACAAAACAUGUAUGAGUAAAACAUUGAGAUUAAAUAGGUUUAGAAGAAGAUAUGUAUUGAACAUUAAAAAUUAAUUUAAAAUAACUAUACUUAUAUCCCUUAAAGCAAUCAUAAAAUGAAAAUCUUCCUAUAUCUGAUAAUUUAAACAAUUAACAUAAUAUAACGAUUAAAAAUAUGCUAAAAUAUAAUAUAAGCUUAGGCGGCGAGUAGAAAUGAAAAAGAAAAAAGCGCAAUAAUUUACUAAAGAAAAUGAAAAAGAAAAAAGAAAUAGAGUAAUUACAAGAAAAUGAAAUAUUGUAAGACCUGAUAUUAGAAACAACUCUCCAAUCCAUUUUUAGUGUUACUUAAGCCACCACCCGUAUUAUUGUGAGAUCUCAUAAUCCUAAACAAACAUCUCAAUCUCAUCAAAACAAUAUGAAAAACCUAUUUUAAUCAAUUGUGGUGUGCUGACGCACCCGCAUAAAGAGGAUAAACUUGAAAAAGAGAAACACAGAUGAAUAAGUCGGACAAAUAAAAUAGUAGAGAUGUUGUAACCUCAAAAGAUCAAUCCUUAUCAAGGAAAGAAAUCAGUUUAUCCUUUAACAUUUGAUAGAUUAAGAAUGAAAUUAGCAUAAAACGAUAGAAAAAACAAGAAAUUAUUACAAUGUUUCCAGCAAUACGUAUUUUUUUACCCUUUGAUGAUUUUACAAUCAUGAACUGAAUAUGAAACAGAGAUUUCUAUUAAAUAAUGUAGAGGGUGGCAAUAUUUCUGGGAAUAAGUACAUCCUCUCCUGGCGAGUGAUAAACAUGAUCAAACAUGUGAUUGUAGUUGGGCAUGGAGUAACGAAUAACCUACACAUAAUUAGUUGAGGAAAGAUAGUAUGUGGGUAACAUCAAAUAUAUUAAAUACAAUCAUACUAUGUGAAUCCUUAAUACAUAAAAUGUGACUUCGAUAGUCUCUAAUAAUAUUAAUAAACAUAAGUCUACAGAUUAAAAAUAUGAAAAAACUAAUUAUAAGUAGAAAAUGAAAAAAGAAAAAAUAAAAAUCAGAAUAAUUACAACCAAUUUAAAAUGACUACCGUUAUGCGUAUAAAGGAAACCAACUCAAUACGUUUUAUCAAACAGUGUGUUACACUACCCACGUUUUUUUGUGAGAUCCUUCAUAAUCCUUAACAAAAAUUUCUCACAUCUCCAUCAAAAAAACAAUAGAAAAAACCCUAUCAUAAUCAUUGUGAUGCAAAGAAAUAAAAUUUGAAAUUAGAGGAAACACAAAUGAUAGAGUGACAAAAUAAACAGUUAGAGAUGAUAUAACCUUCAAGAUUAACCAUUAUCAGAAUCACCUUGGGGGGGGGGGAUCCGUACAUUUGGUAGAUAGAAAAAAAUUACUCAUAAUAAGAUAGAAAAAAAGGAAAAUAUUGACAAUUUUUCAGCAUUCCGUAUUUUUUUACCCUUUGUAUUUGUUUUAUAAAUCUAAACUGCUUAAACCAUAGUAUUUCUAUAAGUAAUGUAAGCUAAAUAUUUUUAUUAUUAAGUACAUCCUCAAUUCUAUAAAUUAAUCAAACAUGUAAUGAGUAACAAAACAUUGACAUUAAAUAAAUUAAGAAAGUUUGAACAUCAAAAUUAAUUAAAUAUUACUUAUAUCCUUAAGACAUAAAAUUGUCAUCAUCUAUAUUCUGAUAUUAAAAAUUGAACAUAAGUUACACAGAUUAAAAAAAAUAUUGCUAAAAUCACUAAUUUAAGUAGAAAAUAAAAGAAAAGAAAAGAAUAAUUACAAGAAAAUGAAAAAGAAAAAGGAAAAUAGAACAAUUAGAAGAAAAUGAAAAUGCGACUUUAUGUUAUAAAGGAAACAAAAUCAAUCAUUUCAAGUGUACAUUAGACCACUUGUAUUUAUUGUGAGAUCUCAUAAUCCGAACAAACAUCGCAAUCUCAUCAAAUAAUAACGAAAAAACCCUAUCUAAUCAUUGGUGACGCCAAGAAUAAAAUGGAAAAUAAAGAGGAAACACAGAUGAAAUGGGUGACAAAAUAAAAAGGUAGAAUUGUGUAACCUUCAAAAAGGAUCAACCUAUAUCAGAAAUCACUGAUCUGUAAUUUGAUACCAUAAGAAUGAAAAAUUACUCAUAAAAGAUAGCAAAGAAAAAGAAAUAUUGACAAUUUCCAGCAGUACGUAUUCUUUUUUUUUUGUACCCUUUGUAUUUUGUUUAUACAAUCAUUAAGUGAAUCUGAACAGAGACUUCUCUAUUAAUAAUGUUAAGCAAAUAUUUUAAGUUAAGUACAUCCCCAUUCUAUACAAAAUUUCAAACAUGUAAUGAGUAAAAACAUUGAGAUUAUAUAGUUUAGAAAAGAUAUGUAUUGAACAUUCAAAAUUAAUUCGAAUUAUAUAUAUCCUUAAGAACAUAAAAUGUCCCAUCUUCUUAUAUUCUGAUAAUCAAAAACAAUUAACAUAAGUUAUACUGAUUAAAAAAUAUGCUAAAAUACUAAUUUAUAAGUAGAAAAUGAAGAAGAAAAAAAAAAGCAUAAUUACAAGAAACUGAAAAAGAAAAAAAAGAAAAUAUAAUAAUUACGAAGAAAAUGAAAAUUGAGUACUGUAUGGAUUAGGAAACCAACUCAAUCAUUUUUCCAGUGUUACAUUAGCACCACCUGUAUUAUUGUGAGAUCCUCAUAAUCCUAACAAAACAUUCUCAAUCUCAUUCAAAAAGCAAUACGAAAAAACCUUUCAUAAUCAUGGUGAGCAAUAAGUAAUUGAAAUAGAGGAAACACAGAUGAUGAAUAGGGUGACAAAUAAAAAAGGUAGAGAUGUUGUAACCUUCAAAAGAUCAAACCUAUAUCAGGAAAUCAAUUACAUUUGAUAGAUAAGAAUGAACAGAUUACUCAUAAGAUUAGAAAAAAUAAAGGAAUUAUUACAAUUUCUCUGCAGUACGUUAUUUUUUUUACCCUGUAUAUUGUUUAUACAAUCAUAAAGUGAUAUGAACCAGAGAUUUCUAUUAAAAUAAUGUAAGCUAAAUAUUUCUAUAAGUUUACAUCCUCACAUUAUAUAUAUCAAUCAACAUGGUGAAUGAGUAAACAAACCUUGACAUUAAUUAGUUUAGAAAGAUAUGUAUUUAACAUCAAAAUUAAUUUAAAUAUAUACUUAUAUCCUAAGAAACAAAAAAUGUCCAUCUUCUAUAUUCUGAUAAUGAAUUAAUUAACAUAAGUUCUACAGAUUAAAAAAUAUGAUAAAAUACUAAUUAAAGUAGGAAAAUGAAAAGAAAAAUAAAUAGAUUUAAUUACAAGAAAAUGAAAGAAAAAAGAAAAUAAAUAAACAACAAAUUUUAAAAUGAGACCGUAUUGUUUAAAGGGAAACCAACUCAAUAAGUUUUCCAGUGUUACACUAGCACCCUUAUUAUUGUGAAGAUCCUGCAUAACGCUAACAAGAAAAUCUCAAUCUCAUCAAAACAAUAGAAAAACCCUAGUCAUAAUCAUUGGUCGAUGCAAAGAAUAAAAUUGAAAAUAACAGGAAACACAAUAAUAGCAAGUGACAAAAUAAAACCAAGUUAGAGAUGUAUAACCUUCAAAAAUUAAACCUAUACCAGAAAUCACUUGAUCCUUACAUUUGGGUAGAUAAGAAAGAAAUUACUCAUAAAAGAUAAAAAAAAAAAGGAAAAUUAUGACAAUUUUUCAGGCAGUACGUAUUUGUUUACCCUUUUUUAUUUUGUUAUACAAUCUAAACUGAUUAAUGAACCAUAGAUUUCUAUUAAGUAAUGUAAGCCUAAUAUUUAUAUUAAGUACAAUUCCUCAUAUUCAAUAAUUAAAUUCAAACAAUGUAAUGAGUAACAAACAUUGACAUUGAAAUAAAUUAGAAAGAUAUGGUAUUGAACACAAAAUAAAUUAAAUAUAUACUUAUACUCUUAAGAACAUUAAAAUGUCAUCUUCUUAUAUUCUGAUAAUUAAACAAUACUAACAUAGUUACACAGAUUAAAAUAUGCUAAAAUAACGAAUUAUAAGUAGGAAAUGAAAAAGAAAAAAAAAAAAAGAAUAAUUACAAGAAAAUGAAAAAGAAAAAAGGAAAAUAGAAACAAUUAGAAGAAAAUGAAAAAUGAGGCUUUAUGUAUUAAGGAAAAACCCAACUCAAUCAUUUUUCAAGUGUACAUAGCACCACUUGUAUUAUUGUGAAUCACUCAAUCCUAACAAAACAUCUCAAUCUCAUCAAAAUAAUUACGAAAAAAAACCCGAUCAUAAUUCAUUGGUGACGACAAGAAAUUAAAAUUGAAAAUAAGAGGAACACAGUGAAUAGGGUGGACAAAAUAAAAAGGGUAUUAGAUGUGUAAACCUUCAAAAGAUCAACCGAUGAUCAGAAAUUCACUUUUGAUCGUACCUUUGAUACAAAAAGAAUGAAGAUUAUCAUAAAAGAUAGAAAGAAAAAGAAAAUAUAGACAAUUUUUCAGUAUACGUAUUUUUUUUCCCUUUGUUUUUGUUAUAUUACAAUCUAAAGUGAAUCCUGAACACAGAGAUUUCUAUUAAAUAAUGUAAGCUAAAUAUUUUAUUAAAAGUUACAUCCCCAUUUCUAUAAUAACAAACAUGUAAUGAGUAAAAAACAUUGAGAUUAAAUAGUGAAAGAUAUGUAUGUGAACUCAAAAAGUUAAUUCAAUAUCAUACUUACUAUUCCUUAAGAACAUAAAAUGUCAUCUUCUAUAUUCUGAUAAUUAAAACAAUUAACAUAAGUUAUACUGAUAAAAAAAUAUGCUAAAAAUACUAAUUAUAAGUAGAAAUGAAACAGAAAAAAAAGAAUAAUUACAGGAAAUGAAAAAGAAAAAAAGAAAUAGAAUAAUUACAGAAAACUGAAAAUGAGAUGUGAUGUAUUAAAGAGAAACUCAAUCAAUUUUUCCAGUGUUACAUUGCACCACCUUGUAUUAUUGUGAGAUCCUCAUUUCCUAACAAACAUCUCAAUCUUCAUCAAAACAAUCGAAAACCUUAUCAUAAUCUUGUGACGCAGAAUAAAAUUGGAAAAUAAGGAGGAAAACACAGAUGAAUAGGGUGACAAAAUAAAAAAAGGUAGAGAUGUGUAACCUUCAAAAGAUCAACCUAUAUCAGAAUCAUUUGAUCUGACAUUUGAAGAUAAGAAUGAAUUACUCAUAAAAGAUAGGAAAAAAAUAAGGAUUAUUACAAUUUUGCCGGCAGUACGGAUUUUUUACCCCUUUGUAUAUUGUUUAUACCCAAUCAUAAGUAAAUAUGAAACCAGAGAUUUCCUAUUAUUCAAUUAGUUUACUUCAUCAUAAUAUAAUAAUAUAUUAUCUUUUCCUCAUAAUUUCUUUACUCACAAUCGAUUAUAAAUAAUGUAAGUCUAAAUAUUUCUAACAAGUACAUCCUCAAUUAUAUAUAUCAAUCAAACAUGUAAAUGUAGUAACAAUCCUUGACAUAAAAUUAGUUUAGAAAGAUAUGUAUUUAACAUUCAAAAUUAAUUAAACAUAUAGACUUAUAUCCUAGAACAGUAAAAUGUCAUCUUCUAUUUUCUAUUUUAAUUAAUAAUUAACAUAAGUUCUACAGAUUAAAAAAUUAUGUAAAAUACUAAUUAUAAGUAGAAAAUGAAAAGAAAAAAAUAAAAUAGAUUAAUUACCAGAAAUGAAAAAGAAAAAAAGAAAAUAGAAUAUAAACAACAAAUUUAAAUGAGACCGUCAUGUAUUUAUAAAGAAACCAACUCAAUAAAGGUUCCCAGUUGUUACACUAGCACGCACGUUUUUAUUGUGAGAUCCUCAUAACGCUAACAAACAUCUCAAUCUCAUCAAAAAUACGAAAAACUCCCUAUCAGUAAAUCAUUGGUGAUGCAAGAAUAUUUGAAAAUACAGGAAAACACAAAUGGAAUAGAGUGACAAAAGUAAACAAAGUUAAGGAGAUGUAUAAACCUUCAAAAGAUUUAAACCUAUACCAGAAAUCACUUGAUCCGUACAUUUGGUAGAUAAGAAAGGAAAAAUUACUCAUAAAGAUAGAAAAAAAAAAGGAAAAAUAUUUGACCAAUUUUUUUCAGCAGUACGUAUAUUUUUACCCUUUUUAUUUGUUUAUACAAUCAUAAACAUGAUUAUGAACCAUAGAUUUCUAUUAAGUAAUGUAAGCCAAUAUUUAUAUUAAGGUACAUCGUCAAUUCUAUAAAUUCAAUCGAAACAUUAAUUGAGUAACAACAUUUAACAUUUAAUAAAAUUAGAAGAUAUCUAUUGACAUCAAAAUUAAUUAAAUAUAUUUCUUAUAUCUUAAGAACAUAAAAUGUCAUCUUCUAUAUUCUGAUAUUAAAAAUUAACAUAAGUUACACAGAUUAAAAAAUAUGCUAAAAUACUAAUUAUAAGUAGAAAAUGAAAAAGAAAAAAAGAGAAAAGAAUAAUUACAAGAAAAAUUGAAAAAGAAAAAAGGAAAUGAACAGGAUUAGAAGAAAAUGAAAAUGAGACUGGUAUGUAUUAAAGGAAAACGAUCAAUCAUUUUUCCAUGUUACAUAGCACCACCUUGUAUUAUUGUAGAUCCUCAUAAUCCUAACAAAAUCUCCAAUCUCAUCAAAACAUACCAAAAACCCUAUCAUAAUCAUUGGCUGACGCAAGAUAAAAUUGAAAAUAAGAGAAACACAGAUGAAUAGGGUAGUUUAGAAAGAUAUGUAUUGAACAUCAAAAUUAAUUAAAUAUAUACUUAUAUCCUUAAGAACAUAAAAUGUCAUCUUCUAUAUUCUGAUAAUUAAACAAUUAACAUAAGUUAUACUGAUUAAAAAAAUGCUAAAAUACUAAUUAUAAGUAGAUAAUGAAAAAGAAAAAAAGAAAAUAGAAUAAUAACAACAAAUUUAAAAUAAGACCGUAUGGUAUAAAGGAAACCAACUCAAUCCGUUUUCCAGUGUUACACUAGCACCACGUUUAUUAUUGUGAGAUCCUCAUAAUCCUAACAAAAAUCUUAAUCUCAUCAAAACAAUACGAAAAACCCUAUCAUAAUCAUUGGUGAUGCAAGAAUAAAAUUGAAAAUAACAGGAAACACAAAUGAAUAGAGUUAAAAAAUAAACAAGUUAGAGAUGUCUAACCUUCAAAAGAUUAACCUAUAUCAGACAUCACUUGGUCCAUACAUUUGAUAGAUAAGAAAGAAAAUUACUCAUAAAAGAUAGAAAAAAAAGGAAAAUAUGACAAUUUUUCAGCAGUACGUAUUUUUUUAACCUUUGUAUUUUGUUUAUACAAUCAUAAACUGAUUAUGAACCAGAGAUUUCUAUUAUGUAAUGUAAGCUAAAUAUUUGGAUUAAGUACAUCCUCAAUUAUAUAAAUCAAUCAAACAUGUAAUGAGUAACAAACAUUGACAUUAAGUAGUAUAGAAAGGUAUGUAUUGAACAUCAAAAUCAAUUAAAUAUAUACUUAUAUCCUUAAGAACAUAAAAUGUCAUCUUCUAUAUUCUGAUAAUUAAACAAUUAACAUAAGUUAUAAAAUUAAAAAUAUGCUAAAAUACUAAUUAUAAGUAGAAAAUGAAAAAGAAAAAAGAAAAAAGAAUAAUUACAAGAAAAUGAAAAAGAAAAAAAGAAAAAAGAAUAAUUACAAGAAAAUGAAAAUGAGACUGGAUUUAUUAAAGGAAACCAACUCAAUCAUUUUUCUAGUGUUAUAUUAGCACCACCUGUAUUAUUGUGAGAUCCUCAUAAUCCUAACAAACAUCUCAAUCUCAUCAAAACAAUACGAAAAGCCCUAUCAUAAUCAUUGGUGACGCAAGAAUAAAAUUGAAAAUAAGAGGAAACACAAAUGAAUAGGGUGACAAAAUAAAAAAGGUAGAGAUGUGUAACCUUCAAAAGAUCAACCUAUAUCAGAAUUCACUUGAUCUGUAUAUUUGAUAGAUAAGAAUGAAAAUUACUCAUAAAUGAUAGAAAAAAAAAUAAAAUAUGACAAUUUUUCAGCAAUACGUAUUUUUUUACCCUUUGUAUUUUGUUUAUACAAUCAUCAAGUGAAUAUGAACCAGAGAUUUCUAUUAAAUAAUGUAAGCUAAAUUUUCUUCAUUAAGUACAUCCCCAAUUAUAUAAAUCAAUCAAACAUGUAAUGAGUAAAAAACAUUGACAUUAAAUAGUUUAGAAAGAUAUGUAUUGAUCAUCAAAAUUAAUUAAAUAUAUACUUAUAUCCUUAAGAACAUAAAAUGUAAUCUUCUCUAUUCUGAUAAUAAUUAUAAGUAGAAAAUGGAAAAGAAAAAAGAAAAAAGUAUAAUUACAAGAAAAUGAAAAAGAUAAAAAGAAAAAAUAGAAUAAUUACAAGAAAAUGAAAAUGAGACUGUAUGUAUUAAAAAAAACCAACUCAAUCAUUUUUCCAGUGUUACAAUAGCACCACCUGUAUUAUUGUAAGAUCCUCAUAAUCCUAACAAACAUCUCAAUCUCAUCAAAACAAUACGAAAAACCCUAUCAUAAUCAUUGGUGACGCAAGAAUAAAAUUGGAAAUAAGAGGAAACACAGAUGAAUAGGGUGACAAAAUAAAAAGGGUAGAGAUGUGUAAUUGGAAAUAAGAGGAAACACAGAUGAAUAGGGUGACAAAAUAAAAAGGGUAGAGAUGUGUAACCUUCAAAAGAUCAACCUAUAUCAGAAAUCACUUGAUCCAAACAUUUGAUAGAUGAGAAUGAAAGCUACUCAUAAAAGAUAGAAAAAAAAAAGAAAAUAUGACAAUUAUCCAGCAGUACAUAUUUUUUUUGUUUAUACAAUCAUAAAGUGAAUAUGAACCAAAGAUUUCCAUUAAAUAAUGUAAGCUAAAUAUUUUCAUUAAGUACAUCCCCAAUUAUAUAAAUCAGUCAAACAUGUAAUGAGUAAAAACAUUGACAUUAAAUAGUUUAGAAAGAUAUGUAUUGAACAUCAAAAUUAAUUAAAUAUAUACUUGUAUCCUUAAGAACAUAAAAUGUCAUCUUUUAUAUUCUGAUAAUUAAACAAUUACCAUAAGUUAUACUGAUUAAAAAUAAUGCUAACAUACUAAUUAUAAGUAGAAAAUGAAAAAGAAAAAAAGAAAAUAGAAUAAUAACAACAAAUUUAAAAUGUAAUGAGUAACAAACAUUGACCUUAAUUAGUUUAGGAAGAUAUGUAUUGAACAUCAAAAUUAAUUAAAUAUAUACUUAUAUCCUUAAGAACAUAAAAUGUCAUCUUCUAUAUUCUGAUAAUUAAACAAUUAACAUAAGUUAUAAUGAUUAAAAAAUAAGCUAAAAUACCAAUUAUAAGUAGAAAAUGAAAAAGAAAAAAAGAAAAUAGAAUAAUUACAAGAAAAUGAAAAAGAAAAAAAAACAAAAUAGAAUAACUACAAGAAAUUUAAAAUGAGACCGUAUGGUAUAAAGGAAACCAACUCAAUCAGUUUUCCAGUGUUACACUAGCACCACGUUUAUUAUUGUGAGAUCCUCAUAAUCCUAACAAAAAUCUCAAUCUCAUCAAAACAAUACGAAAAACCCUAUCAUAAUCAUUGGUGAUGCAAGAAUAAAAUUGAAAAUAAUAGGAAACACAAAUGAAUAGAGUGACAAAAUAAACAAGUUAGAGAUAUGUAACCUUCAAAAUAUUAACCUAUAUCAGAAAUCACUUGAUCCGUACAUUUCAUAGAUAAGAAAGAAAAUUACUCAUAAAAGAUAGAAAAAAAAGGAAAAUAUGACAAUUUUACAGCAGUACGUAUUUUUUUACCCUUUGUAUUUUGUUUAUACAAUCAUAAAGUGAUUAUGAACUAGAGAUUUUUAUUAAUUAAUGUAAGCUAAAUAUUUCUAUUAAGUACAUCCUCAAUGAUAUAAAUCAAUAAAACAUGUAAUGAGUAACAAACAUUAGCAUUAAAUAGUUUAGAAAGAUAUGUAUUGAACAUAAAAAUUAAAUAAAUAUAUACUUAUAUCCUUAAGAACAUAAAAUGUCAUCUUCUAUAUUCUGAUAAUGAAACAAUUAACAUAAGUUAUACAGAUUAAAAAAUAUGCUAAAAUACUAAUUAUAAGUAGAAAAUGAAAAAGAAAAAAAGAAAAUAGAAUAAUUACAAGAAAAUGAAGAAGAAAAAAAGAAAAUAGAAUAAUUACAAGAAAAUGAAGAAGAAAAAAAGAAAAUAGAAAAAUUACAAGAAAAUGAAAAUGAGACAGUAUGUAUUAAAGGAAACCAACUCAAUCAUUUUUCCAAUGUUACAUUAGCACCAUCUGUAUUAUUAUGAGAUCCUCACAAUCCUAGCGAACAUCUCAAUCUCAUCAAAACAAUACGAAAAACCCUAUCAUAAUCAUUGGUGACGCAAGAAUAAAAUUGAAAAUAAGAGGAAACACAUAUGAAUAGGGUGACAAAAUAAAAAAGGUAGAGAUGUGUAACGUUCAAAAGAUCAACCUAUAUCAGAAAUCACUUGUUCUGUACAUUUGAUAGAUCAGAAUGAAAAUUACUCAUAAAAGAUAGAAAAAGAAAAGAAAAUAUGACAAUUUUACAGCAGUACGUAUUUUUUUACCCUUUGUAUUUUGUUUAUACAAUCAUAAAGUGAAUACGAACCAGAGAUUUCUAUUAAAUAAUGUAAGCUAAAUAUUUUCAUUAAGUACAUCCCCAAUUAUAUAAAUCAAUAAAACAUGUAAUGAGUAAAAAACAUUGGCAUUAAAUAGUUUAGAAAGAUAUGUAUUGAACAUCAAAAUUAAUUAAAUAUAUAGUUAUAUCCUUAAGAACAUAAAAUGUCAUCUUCUAUAUUCUGAUAAUUAAAAAAUUAACAUCAGUUAUACAGAUUAAAAAAUAUGCUAAAAUACUAAUUAUAAGUAGAAAAUGAAAAAGAAAAAAAGAAAAAAGAAUAAUUACAAGAAAAUGAAAAUCUAAAAAAGGAAAUAGUAUAAUUACAAGAAAAUGAAAAUGAGACCGUAUGGUAUAAAGGAAACCAACUCAAUCAGUUUUCCAGUGUUACGCUAGCACCACCUUUAUUAUUUUGAGAUCCUCAUAAUCCUAACAAAUAUCUCAAUCUCAUCAAAACAAUACAAAAA
rnacentral:lncRNA from 1 species